rnacentral:tRNA from 2 species
GUCCCUGUAGCUUAACUCAAAGCAUGGCACUGAAGCCGCCAAGAUGGGCAUCAACCCCCAGAGACA